rnacentral:lncRNA from 1 species
GGAAAGUUUCUUAUACAUUAAUAUUGUAUAUGGUUCAUGGUUAUGUAGUUUGGAAGAACAUAAUUGAUGUUGCUCCUGUCAACAGGCCUUGGAAACUGUCUCAAUAAGGAUGUGGACAAUAAAAGGUUCAGCGGUUCCAGCAGAGAAGCAGAUCCUACAGGGACCCUGAGCAGGGCUGCAGCUAAGUGCCAAGCCUUUGCCCAAAGGAUAGUGAAGUGUUCUUUUGAUCCAAUUUCUGCAUGAACUUAGAAGAAAAUGGACAUGUGAUUGACUUAGUGGGUUUCCUGUCAUCCACUGUGGGAUUCGCCUCCUUGUCUUUUCCUGAAUCUUUGAUGUAAAUAACAUAAGGUAGUUUAAAUCUCUGGUUUUACAAAUGGAUUUUGAAACUUGAUUUCUAAUGGCAAAAUGAAGCCACGUAGCAUGAAAAUAUGGAUCCAUUUCACAUACACAUUUUAAGAAAAUGAAAUGUUUCAUUUGUGCAAAUAGCAAUUUGGAGUACUUCACAUGAUUUUAAAUGCAUUUGUGUUUAAUUUUUUUAAUCUAUCAAUAAAAAAGUUGUUUGAAACA